ensembl:lncRNA HULC hepatocellular carcinoma up-regulated long non-coding RNA
GGCUGCUUUGUUUACCUAAGCAAGCCUGGGCAAUGGCGGGCGCCCCUCCCCCAGCCUCGCUGCCGCCUUGCAGUUUGAUCUCAGACUGCUGUGCUAGCAAUCAGGGAGACUCCGUGGGCGUAGGACCCUGCGAGCCAGGACACAGCCCUGGUGAUGGCUUUCUGAGGAUGACACGAUGGAGGCUUCUCCAAUAGCUCUAAAACUGCGGUGUGGAAAACAUUCGGCAGCCUCAAAGAGCGGUCUUGUUGACCCCAACUAUAUCAUUUUUCAUCAAAAUCAUUCUUGUAAAGAAUGACCAGGCAACACUCUUUGAAAAUUGGAGGCCAUUUGCAGCUGCUCUCUGUUGAGGAAAGUGAAUAAUAGGGUGCCCUCAAGGAAUUGCAAAGGUAUCACUCAACAGAAACUUUCGUGUCUGAAGAAAACUAGAUCAUUUUAUCAUGGUAGGCAUGCUGAUAUGUUUGCUUUAAUAAAAUGCCAUAUUUCUGCCUUUAAUCUCUUGUCAACCCGCUAUUAAAAAGCCCCAAAGUGCAUGUGUGCAGCGCAUGUAAACACUUGUGGUUUUGAGGUUACCACAGAACAUACUAAUAAAGCAUGUAAUUUGUGUUUUGUGCA